GACGAACGCUGGCGGCGUGCUUAACACAUGCAAGUCGAGCGGUAAGGCCCCUUCGGGGGUACACGAGCGGCGAACGGGUGAGUAACACGUGAGCAAUCUGCCCAUCACAUCGGGAUAACUCCGGGAAACCGAAGCUAAUACCGAAUACGACCACCUCCGGCAUCGGAUGGUGGUGGAAAGUUCCGGCGGUGAUGGAUGAGCUCGCGGCCUAUCAGCUUGUUGGUGGGGUUACGGCCCACCAAGGCUUCGACGGGUAGCCGGCCUGAGAGGGUGACCGGCCACACUGGGACUGAGACACGGCCCAGACUCCUACGGGAGGCAGCAGUGGGGAAUAUUGGACAAUGGGCGAAAGCCUGAUCCAGCAACGCCGCGUGAGGGAUGACGGCCUUCGGGUUGUAAACCUCUUUCAGCAGGGACGAAGCGCAAGUGACGGUACCUGCAGAAGAAGCACCGGCCAACUACGUG
rnacentral:rRNA from 1 species